rnacentral:rRNA from 1 species
CUGCGUGAAGUUGGAAUCGCUAGUAAUCGCGGAUCAGCAUGCCGCGGUGAAUACGUUCCCGGGCCUUGUACACACCGCCCGUCACACCAUGAGAGUCGGGAACACCCGAAGUCCGUAGCCUAACCGCAAGGGGGGCGCGGCCGAAGGUGGGUUCGAUAAUUGGGGUGAAGUCGUAACAAGGUAUC